AUGCAGGCCAUCAAGCGUGUGGUGGUGGGAGACGGAGCUGUAGGUAAAACUUGCCUACUGAUCAGUUACACAACCAAUGCAUUUCCUGGAGAGUACAUCCCCACUGUCUUUGACAACUACUCUCCCAAUGUUAUGGUAGAUGGAAAACCGGUGAAUCUGGGCUUAUGGGAUACAGCUGGACAAGAAGAUUAUGACCGAUUACGUCCCUUAUCCUAUCCGCAAACAGAUGUAUUCUUAAUUUGCUUUUCUCUUGUGAGUCCUGCAUCAUUUGAAAAUGUUCGAGCAAAGUGGUACCCCGAAGUGUGACACCACUGUCCCAACACCCCCAUCAUCUUGGUGGGGACUAAACUUGAUCUCAGGGACGACAAAGACACGAUCGAGAAGCUGAAGGAAAAGAAGCUGACACCCAUCACCUACCCGCAGGGUCUAGCCAUGGCUAAGGAGAUCGGUGCGGUAAAAUACCUGGAGUGCUCGGCACUCACGCAGCGAGGCCUCAAGACAGUGUUUGAUGAAGCGAUCCGAGCAGUUCUCUGCCCCCCUCCCGUCAAGAAGAGGAAGAGAAAAUGCCUGCUGUUGUAAAUGUCCGGGCCCGCCCCCGCCCCGUCCCCGCCCCGUCCCCCUCGGAACCUUUGUACGCUUUGCUCAAAAAUGGUGGAGCCUUCGCACUCGAUGCCAAGUUUUUGUUACAGAUUAGUUUUUCCAUAAAACCAUUCUGAACCAAC